AGAGCCUUGCAUGAAUUUCACAAGCUCCACCUCUCUCCAACAUUCCAUGAAUUAGGAAGACGUAUAAUCUUUGAAACCAUUUAAUCAGCAGACAUCAUAGGUUUUGGUGUAAGAACCAGAGUCGGCGGAAAAUAUGUUUUAACAUCACAAAUUAGCUUUUUCCCAUGGCAUUCAGAGAGACAUUAUUACGGUUGCGGUAA
rnacentral:lncRNA from 1 species